CUAUCUCUCAGGGUAUCUUAAAGAACAUAGUGAAGGAAAACAACACUUCUUAUUCAAAGACUUUCCUUUAGCUGUCCACAAGAAUAGAACACAAACUGAAACAAAAUAUUUCAUUUAGAGCAAGUUUUGCCAUGUGCUUAUGGAGGCUGUAUAACAGUCCUAGGAUUAUCAGCCAGCUGGAGCAAGCACCUGAGGAAAAAAGAUAAUAAAGGUGGACUUGAGGAGAAAAAGCUAGAAGGAGAAAGUUCUGGGAAAGCUUAAGAACUCAGACACUGAAUACAUGUAAACGCUGCUUCAUUAUUCUUUGAGCCAAAGAAUCAGAAAAGCACAGAAUGAUUGGGGGUGAGAAGAGACCUCUGGAGAUCAUCUAGUCCACCCCCCCUGCUAAAGGAUGUUCACCUAUAGAAGGCUG